GGGAGAGAUCAUACUAGCACUAAUGCGCCAGAUCCCAUUAGAACUCUAUAGUUAAGCGUGCUUUGGCGAGAGUAGUACUAGGAUGGGUGACCUCCUGGGAAGUCCUCGUGUUGUACUCC